AAGUCGUAACAAGGUUUCCGUAGGUGAACCUGCGGAAGGAUCAUUAACACUUUCAUUUUAUUGAAAAUUUAUUUUUCAAUAAUUUACUUACCCACAUUUUUGGAUGAAUUAUUUCUUUUUUAUUCUUUUUUAAAUUUUAUACCCAAAUACCAUAUUAUUUCUAACAUUUAUACACAAAAAGUUUAAGAAAAACAUAAAAAACAACUCUUAACAACGGAUAUCUAGGCUCUC
rnacentral:misc_RNA from 1 species